UUCUUCUCCCUCAACUAUCUCACACUCACAACAGACAUUGAGAAAGUCACCCAUUAACGAAUUUGUGAGCAAAUGAUAGGAUAACAUCAACUUUUUCUUCCCCCUCACCUUCUCCAUCAACAUAUUUCGUAUUCGGCAUCAAUUCCAUCUCUCUAUCUCACACCAAAAAGUUUAACUUCUUCUUCUCCCUCACAUCUUCCAUGAAAAAACCCUAGAACUGAAAUUAGAGAUUGGUUCAAAAAAUUAAUCGGAUGCUUUCAAUCGAUCUAUUUUUAAUUGAAGAAUGGUGGUUCACAGAAAUAGGGUUUGAUUGAAUUUUCAUCUUCUUCAUUAGGUUUAAUUGCUGCUGCAGAUGGAAACUGCACGCCCUUGCUUUGUAGUUUGGAGACAAAACAUGUCCAAAGAACAGCUGGCUGCUGAACGAGAAAGGAACUGGGUUUGACAAAAAACCCAUCGGCUAAAUACGAUGGAGGAGCAGCUGCCACCAAAAAUAAGUUGAACUUCCCUUGGCUGAAUGUCGACGAACAUUACCGCUGGGUUUAUUGAAUUGGGACCAGAACAUAGAGCUCCCUUACGUACAUGGUAAGAAGAUACAAUUGUGUUUGAUGAGCAAAUCAACUGAUCCAGAAUCCAGAAGACGGUCCCAAUGAGAGUAACCAGGACUAUAUGCAGGAAGGUACGUAUAUUUUUAGCAAGUUAUUGUACAAUACUGUGAGGAAAGUUCAUCUUGGGAUCAUUUCAGGCAUUCUUCGAUUGACAAAAAUUUACUGUACUUUAGACUAUAUAUAUGUUGAAAGUGCGAAGUUUUAUGUGCUAAACUUCAAAAAAAAUGUGAUAUUCGCUCAUUUUGUUUACAUCUGUGAUACAGUCUAACUCACACUAGCUAUGAAUUAAUGGAGAAAAUACUUAAAGUUUACUAGAUUAGAACCGAUGGCUAGAGCCUGCAUCAGUAAUAUAUGUUGUAUGAUAUCAUGCCAGAGUCUGACUAGGAACUGGAAGCUGAAGAGACACUACAGCUGCUGGUCGCUGAACAUCGUAUCCUAAUGUGAAAAUGCAUUGAUACUCGGGCUUUAUCAUGGCUUGAAGAAAGAGAAGUCCAGAACUUAUGAUAGGUGCAAAGAGAAGUCCAGAACUUAUGAUAGAUGGAAGCCGCAAAGAUAAAUUUGAAUUUAUGCAGGAUUUCUAGAUUCGUGAGUUCGCAAGGCGUUACAGUUGAGCAAGUGAAUCAAGAGUAGGUUCUGCAGGAUGCAGCUUUUACUUGGCAGCUAUUUGUAUAUGGUGAACAGAUCUAGGAAGAUUCGUGAGUUCCCAAUGCAGGUAUUAGGUUAUUAGGCUUAGAUGCUAAACAUAUAAUGAAUAGAUUCAUAAGAAAUUAAGUGUUCACAUGGUGUGGGGUGCUGAAGAUGAUGGAUAUAGAAUAUACACAACUCAUUCAACCAGGAGCUAUGUACAUUACUUUACUGUGCUAUUUGACUGUACGAUUAUAACACAUUCUGUUAAGAGUGUUAUGAUUUUCGAACAUGGAAAAUGCAUAUAUUUAACUAUUGUCCA